rnacentral:lncRNA from 1 species
CUGAGGGUACACUUGGAUCUAAUGGGGUUCUUCACAUCUGAAUGAGGCUGAUGAAGGUGAGGCGGGCUUUAUGUGCUAGCUAAUUGGGUGCUACCAGGAACAAACCCCAAACUUGUAGUGUCAGCAACUGCGUAUUGCAUAAUCAGCUGCUUGGAAUGCCCACUUGGGGAUUGGACUGCGAUAAGCAAGUGCCAUCCCAUAUCUGCGAGACAAGCAUCGUGUCAAUUACACUGUGGAUGGUCGGAUUUAUGUGCUUUUUGGCAGUGGUGCUAAACUAUUAAUCAUGUCUCAUGAACAGUCUCCGUGUAACCCAACAUUCGAAGGACGCAUCCAAAGGACCGUUCUGGCAAAAUAAAUAAAUAAAUAAAUAAAUUGAAUUUCCUCUGUGUUUCCUGCUAAAGUCUAAGAAAAUGAGAUUGGAUACAGAGAAGCCUUAAAUGAUAACCAAGCGUCAAUCUUCCCUCCUUCCUCCCCUCGCUUUCUUCCUCCCUCUCUCUUUCCCUCCUUUCCUCUUGCUUUCUUUCUCCCUCUCCCUUUCUCUGUCUCCCUUCCUUUCUUUCUUCCUUCCUUCCUUCCUUUCUUUCUUCCUUCUUCCUUCCCUCCCUCCCUCUUCCUUCCUUCCUUCCUCCCACUCUUCCUUCCUUCCUCCUUCCCUCCCUCCCUCUUCCUUCCUUCCUCCCACUCUUCCCUCCUUCCUUCCUUCCUUCCUCCCUCCC